rnacentral:rRNA from 1 species
UACGUAGGGGGCUAGCGUUGUUCGGAAUUACUGGGCGUAAAGGGCUUGUAGGCGGCCACUUAAGUCAGACGUGAAAUCCCUCAGCUUAACUGGGGAACUGCGUCUGAUACUGCGUGGCUUGAGUGCAGGAGAGGAACGCGGAAUUCCAGGUGUAGCGGUGAAAUGCGUAGAUAUCUGGAGGAACACCGGUGGCGAAGGCGGCGUUCUGGACUGUAACUGACACUGAAAAACGAAAGCCAGGGGAGCAAACGGG